UGCCCAGCAACUCCUAUCCCUACCUCCUCGUGAUACUGGCCGGGGUACGAGUAACCUUGGGGAAGAUCGGGUAACCAACCCCCGGUGGGAACUUUGGUCGUAUGCUGACAGGGAAGG
rfam:Aedes aegypti strain Liverpool supercont1.328 genomic scaffold, whole genome shotgun sequence.